UAAAAGCAUGACGGGUGUCCAGGCCCUCAAUUGUCUCUUCCAGCUCAGCUCUGGAGGUUGUGGUCUCACGACCCUCCCUUCAUCGCGAGUCAGAGCUGGAAGAGGUAGUUGAUGACCUGGUUCUGAGAUUAUACCGUAUGAACUUGAUCUAGACAAUUCUAGCGCAUAAGGACAUGCUUCCCCCUCCCC
rnacentral:ncRNA from 1 species